rnacentral:rRNA from 1 species
GUGCACGCUGGCGGUAGGCCUAACCCAUGCAAGUCGCACGGCAGCACAGUAAGAGCUUGCUCUUACGGGUGGCGAGUGGCGGACGGGUGAGGAAUACAUCGGAAUCUACUUUUUCGUGGGGGAUAACGUAGGGAAACUUACGCUAAUACCGCAUACGACCUACGGGUGAAAGCAGGGGAUCUUCGGACCUUGCGCGAUUGAAUGAGCCGAUGUCGGAUUAGCUAGUUGGCGGGGUAAAGGCCCACCAAGGCGACGAUCCGUAGCUGGUCUGAGAGGAUGAUCAGCUACACUGGAACUGAGACACGGUCCAGACUCCUACGGGAGGCAGCAGUGGGGAAUAUUGGACAAUGGGCGCAAGCCUGAUCCAGCCAUACCGCGUGGGUGAAGAAGGCCUUCGGGUUGUAAAGCCCUUUUGUUGGGAAAGAAAAGCAGCAGGUUAAUACCCCGCUGUUCUGACGGUACCCAAAGAAUAAGCACCGGCUAACUUCGUG